rnacentral:rRNA from 1 species
AGCGGCAGGCUUAACACAUGCAAGUCGAGGGGUAACAGGGAGUGCUUGCACUCUGCUGACGACCGGCGCACGGGUGCGUAACGCGUAUGCAACCUACCUUCUACAGGGGGAUAGUCCAGAGAAAUUUGGCAUAAUACCCCAUACGAUCAUUUAUUGGCAUCGAUAGAUGAGGAAAACUCCGGUGGUAGAAGAUGGGCAUGCGUCCUAUUAGUUAGUUGGUAAGGUAACGGCUUACCAAGACAUCGAUAGGUAGGGGUCCUGAGAGGGAGAUCCCCCACACUGGUACUGAGACACGGACCAGACUCCUACGGGAGGCAGCAGUGAGGAAUAUUGGACAAUGGAGGCAACUCUGAUCCAGCCAUGCCGCGUGCAGGAAGACGGCCCUACGGGUUGUAAACUGCUUUUAUACAGGAAGAAACGCCGCUACGUGUAGCGGUUUGACGGUACUGUACGAAUAAGGAUCGGCUAACUCCGUGCCAGCAGCCGCGGUAAUACGGAGGAUCCAAGCGUUAUCCGGAAUCAUUGGGUUUAAAGGGUCCCUAGGCGGUUUUUUAAGUCAGAGGUGAAAUCCUGCAGCUCAACUGUAGCAUUGCCUUUGAUACUGAAAGACUUGAGUUAUUGUGAAGUAGUUAGAAUGUGUAGUGUAGCGGUGAAAUGCAUAGAUAUUACACAGAAUACCGAUUGCGAAGGCAGAUUACUAACAAUAUACUGACGCUGAGGGACGA